rnacentral:rRNA from 1 species
UGGGGAAUUUUGGACAAUGGGCGCAAGCCUGAUCCAGCCAUGCCGCGUGGAUGAUGAAGGCCUUAGGGUUGUAAAAUCCUUUCGUUGGGGACGAUAAUGACGGUACCCAAAGAAGAAGCUCCGGCUAACUUCGUGCCAGCAGCCGCGGUAAUACGAAGGGGGCUAGCGUUGUUCGGAUUUACUGGGCGUAAAGCGCGUGUAGGCGGACUUGUAAGUUGGGGGUGAAAUCCCGAGGCUCAACCUCGGAACUGCCUCCAAAACUCAAAUCUGGACCUAAGUAGAGGCAAGUGGAAUUGCGAGUGUAGAGGUGAAAUUCGUAGAUAUUCGCAGGAACACCAGUGGCGAAGGCGACUUGCUGGACUUAUGGUGACGCUGAGACGCGAAAGCGUGGGGAGCAAACAGGAUUAGAUACCCGUGUAGUCCCUGAGCGGGCUGGCAAGGCGCAU